AUGGCGGAGGAACCGUCCGCAAAGCGUCAUCAUGGAGAGACAUCGGACAAGAGCAGCAACCUCGUCGACAUUCACGUCCUCGGCGAGAAGCGCGAGUACACGAGAACCCUCACAUGGGUUGAGGUCCACGGCAAGGAGACGCUGGAGAUUGUCUGCACCAGCGAACCAGACAAGACCGACGAGAUGAUGAGCAGGCUCAAGAUGAAGGGCGGCGGCUUGUAUCCGAGCUUCAUCGGAGUUGAUGUGGAGUACACUAUUGAAGAUGAACCUCCACAGAUGGCAGCAGUCCUGCAGUUGUGCGUCGAGGAACUCUGCUUGGUGUACCACAUCGCAGCAGCCACAAAAUGGUAA
rnacentral:rRNA from 1 species